rnacentral:rRNA from 1 species
GACGAACGCUGGCGGCGUGCUUAACACAUGCAAGUCGAACGGAAAGGCCCUGCUUUUGUGGGGUGCUCGAGUGGCGAACGGGUGAGUAACACGUGAGUAACCUGCCCUUGACUUUGGGAUAACUUCAGGAAACUGGGGCUAAUACCGGAUAGGAGCUCCUGCUGCAUGGUGGGGGUUGGAAAGUUUCGGCGGUUGGGGAUGGACUCGCGGCUUAUCAGCUUGUUGGUGGGGUAGUGGCUUACCAAGGGAUUGACGGGUAGCCGGCCUGGGAGGGUGACCGGCCACAUUGGGACUGCGAGACGGCGCAGACUCCUACGGGAGGCAGCAGUGGGGAAUAUUGCACAAUGGGCGGAAGCCGGAUGCAGCGACGCCGCGUGCGGGAUGACGGUCUUCGGGGUGUAAACCGCUUUCGCCUGUGACGAAGCGUGAGUGACGGUAAUGGGUAAAGAAGCACCGGCUAACUACGUG